rnacentral:rRNA from 1 species
AUUGAACGCUGGCGGCAUGCUUUACACAUGCAAGUCGAACGGCAGCACGGGGGCAACCCUGGUGGCGAGUGGCGAACGGGUGAGUAAUAUAUCGGAACGUACCCGGAAAUGGGGGAUAACGUAGCGAAAGUUACGCUAAUACCGCAUAUGCCCUAAGGGGAAAGCGGGGGAUUCGCAAGAACCUCGCGUUUUCGGAGCGGCCGAUAUCGGAUUAGCUAGUAGGUGAGGUAAAGGCUCACCUAGGCGACGAUCCGUAGCUGGUCUGAGAGGACGACCAGCCACACUGGAACUGAGACACGGUCCAGACUCCUACGGAGGCAGCAGUGGGAAUUUUGGACAAUGGGCGCAAGCCUGAUCCAGCCAUGCCGCGUGAGUGAAGAAGGCC